AUAAGAUAUUUCUGUUUUCCUCCAGUCUUUGAGAUGGUGAGCAAUGAUCUCCAAAGUCACUACAGGUGGUUGUACGGAGGCAGUGUUACAUGGACCGGGGAAGCAAUUGUGAAGUUAUGAUGUAGAUGCCUUAAUUACAGAGCCUUAUGCUGACUAUGACCGUGGUUUUAAUAGAUACCCAGGAAGGAUAACAGGAUAGCACUAACAAGUGGAAUGCCUUAUAUUAUGAUAGUGGAUGAGGUUGAUUAUGACAUGUGUUACAACGUGAUGUGUGAUAAAGCUAGGGACCAGGUUGUCAAAGUUAUCAACCAUUUCAACAUCAGAAUACAACAAGAAAAUAUCUUUAUCAGGUGCCAGACCUAUCAGAGGAUAUUUUAAGUUUGAAGAAUAAGUUGAAUAAUCUCGAUAGAGGUGUAGCAGCUGCUGAGAAUACAUUGUAUCACAUCCUGAGAUUUUUGGAUUAUCGUUACGAAAUAAGGGACAUAUAUGAAACAAUAGAAAAUAAAAAAGACCUUAGAAUGCUAUUAAAAAGGCAAAUAAAAGAAUUACACUCGUUCAUAUAGCUGCUCUGUACUGGAAAACGAUAUAUAAUGGAAGGCUUAUCAACAGAACAUGUAAAAAAUCUUAAAAAGAUAAGUCGCAUUUGUGGUGAAAAUAUUAAAAAUGUGAAGUCUACUUCCAAAUACAAGAAAGAGAUGUUUAAAGAAGAGCUUUGCAAACUUUAUAGCAUAUAUGUUGACAAUGAUUUAGACGAAGUUCAUCCUAGAUUUAUUUGCAAAAAUGAUGCUCGUAAACUGUAUCGUGUACGUAGCCAUGCACUCAGAAGAGACAAGUGACACUACAUGUUCAAAACAAGUGGCAAAACUGUUUUUACCUCAUGAUCAGAAUUGUGAAUUAUGUUUUCCGGACAGGAAUGGAAGACCAUGGCUUUUAAAGUCAAAAUCUGUUAAAAAGAAAACAGCCACAGUAACAGUUA